GCUUGCUCAGGAUCGCACCUGGAGAGUUUCCAGUACUUUACCAGACUCGGCUAUGGGAGGAAGAGUCAAGCAGAGGCCUGUCCAUUCCACUCCUAGCUUGGGCAGUGACUAGUGAGUGGAAGGCAAUCUGCUACAAGU